rnacentral:rRNA from 1 species
GACAGAGGUGCCAAGCGUUAGGCGGAAUCACUGGGCUUAAAGCGUGCGUAGGUGGAUUUGUAAGUACCUUGUGAAAUCCCAUGGCUCAACCAUGGAACUGCUCGGUAUACUGCGAAUCUUGAGCCACUUAGGGGCUACCGGAACAAAUGGUGGAGCGGUGAAAUGCGUAGAGAUCGGAAAGAACACCAACGGCGAAAGCACUCUGCUGGGCCGACACUGACACUGAGAGACGAAAGCUAGGGGAGCGAAUGGG